AUUGAACGCUGGCGGAAUGCUUUACACAUGCAAGUCGAACGGCAGCACGGGGCAACCUGGUGGCGAGUGGCGAACGGGUGAGUAAUACAUCGGAACGUGCCCAAUCGUGGGGGAUAACGUAGCGAAAGUUACGCUAAUACCGCAUACGAUCUACGGAUGAAAGCGGGGGAUCGCAAGACCUCGCGCGAAUGGAGCGGCCGAUGUCAGAUUAGGUAGUUGGUGGGGUAAAGGCUCACCAAGCCAACGAUCUGUAGCUGGUCUGAGAGGACGACCAGCCAAACUGGGACUGAGACACGGCCCAGACUCCUACGGGAGGCAGCAGUGGGGAAUUUUGGACAAUGGGCGCAAGCCUGAUCCAGCCAUUCCGCGUGCAGGAUGAAGGCCUUCGGGUUGUAAACUGCUUUUGUACGGAACGAAACGGUUCUCUCUGAUACAGGGGGCUAAUGACGGUACCGUAAGAAUAAGCACCGGCUAACUACGUGCCAGCCGCCGCAGUAACAC
rnacentral:rRNA from 1 species